UGGCUCUCGCAUCGAUGAAGAACGCAGCGAAAUGCGAUAAGUAAUGUGAAUUGCAGAAUUCAGUGAAUCAUCGAAUCUUUGAACGCAUCUUGCGCUCCUUGGUAUUCCAAGGAGCAUGCCUGUUUGAGUGUCAUUAAAUUAUCAACCUUUACCUGCUUUGAUGUUGGGUUAGGCUUGGAAGUGGGGGUUUUAAUUUGCAGGCUUUUACAGGUCAGCUCCCCUGAAAUUUAUUAGCAGUGCCCUUUGUAGUAAACAGCUAUUGGUGUGAUAAUUAUCUAUGCCAUUAGAUGCCCUGAUAAAAAGAGGGGGGGGGUUAUGCUGCUUCAAACUGUCUUUUUUAAUAGACAUUUAUAAUGAAAAUUUUGACCUCAAAUCAGGUAGGACUACCCGCUGA
rnacentral:misc_RNA from 1 species